GCGCACCUACGGGGGGCAGCAGUGGGGAAUAUUGCACAAUGGGCGAAAGCCUGAUGCAGCAACGCCGAGUGAAGGAAGACGGUUUUCGGAUUGUAAACUUCUAUCAAUAGGGAAGAAAGAAAUGACGGUACCUGACUAAGAAGCCCCGGCUAACUACGUGCCAGCAGCCGCGGUAAUACGUAGGGGGCAAGCGUUAUCCGGAUUUACUGGGUGUAAAGGGAGCGUAGACGGCAAUGCAAGUCUGGAGUGAAAGGCGGGGGCCCAACCCCCGGACUGCUCUGGAAACUGUAUAGCUGGAG
rnacentral:rRNA from 1 species